AUUGAACGCUGGCGGAAUGCUUUACACAUGCAAGUCGAGCGGCAGCGCGGGGCAACCUGGCGGCGAGCGGCGAACGGGUGAGUAAUGCAUCGGAACAUGUCCAUGUCGUGGGGGAUAGCCCGGCGAAAGCCGGAUUAAUACCGCAUACGUCCGAGAGGAGAAAGUGGGGGACCCGAAAGGGCCUCACGCGAUUGGGUUGGCCGAUGUCCGAUUAGCUAGUUGGUGAGGAAAGGCUCACCAAGGCGAUGAUCGGUAGCUGGUCUGAGAGGAUGAUCAGCCACACUGGGACUGAGACACGGCCCAGACUCCUACGGGAGGCAGCAGUGGGGAAUUUUGGACAAUGGGGCAACCCUGAUCCAGCCAUUCCGCGUGAGUGAAGAAGGCCUCGGUUGUAAGUA
rnacentral:rRNA from 1 species